rnacentral:rRNA from 1 species
GACGAACGCUGGCGGCGUGCUUAACACAUGCAAGUCGAACGGAAAGGCCCUGCUUGCAGGGUACUCGAGUGGCGAACGGGUGAGUAACACGUGGGUGAUCUGCCCUGCACUUCGGGAUAAGCCUGGGAAACUGGGUCUAAUACCGGAUAGGAGCCAUCUUUAGUGUGAUGGUUGGAAAGUUUUUUCGGUGUAGGAUGAGCUCGCGGCCUAUCAGCUUGUUGGUGGGGUAAUGGCCUACCAAGGCGGCGACGGGUAGCCGGCCUGAGAGGGUGGACGGCCACAUUGGGACUGAGAUACGGCCCAGACUCCUACGGGAGGCAGCGGGGGGGAAUAUUGCACAAUGGGCGCAAGCCUGAUGCAGCGACGCCGCGUGGGGGAUGACGGCCUUCGGGUUGGAAACUCCUUUCGCUAGGGACGAAGCUUUUUGUGACGGUACCUAGAUAAGAAGCACCGGCUAACUACGUG